GCUGGCGGCGUGCANAAAUACAUGCAANUCGGGCGGAUCUUUAGAAGCUUGCUUCUAAAGAUUAGCGGCGGACGGGUGAGUAACACGUGGGCAACCUGCCUGUAAGACUGGGAUAACUUCGGGAAACCGAGGCUAAUACCGGAUAAUCCUUUUCCUCACAUGAGGGAAAGCUGAAAGACGGCGCAAGCUGUCACUUACAGAUGGGCCCGCGGCGCAUUAGCUAGUUGGUGAGGUAACGGCUCACCAAGGCAACGAUGCGUAGCCGACCUGAGAGGGUGAUCGGCCACACUGGGACUGAGACACGGCCCAUACUCCUACGGGAGGCAGCAGUAGGGAAUCUUCCGCAAUGGACGAAAGUCUGACGGAGCAACGCCGCGUGAGUGAUGAAGGCUUUC
rnacentral:rRNA from 1 species